rnacentral:rRNA from 1 species
AGAGUUUGAUUCUGGCUCAGGAUGAACGCUGGCGGCGUGCCUAAUACAUGCAAGUUGAACGGGGUGGAGUAAUCCACCAAGUAGCGAACGGGUGAGUAAUACGUAAGUAACCUACCUUCAUGUGGGGGAUAACUAGAGGAAACUCUUGCUAAUACCGCAUAAAAAGCACUUGACAUCAAGUGAAGCAAAAAGAUGGAGCAAUCCAUCGCAAGAAGAUGGGCUUACGGCGCAUUAGCUAGUUGGUGAGGUAACGGCUCACCAAGGUGAUGAUGCGUAGCCGACCUGAGAGGGUGAUCGGCCACAUUGGGACUGAGACACGGCCCAAACUCCUACGGGAGGCAGCAGUAGGGACUUUUCGGCAAUGGGGGGAACCCUGACCGAGCAACGCCGCGUGAAGGAAGAAGGUCUUCGGAUUGUAAACUUCUGUUAUAGGGAAAGAAUGAUACUUAGAGGAAAUGCUGGGUAAGUGACGGUACCCUAUUAGAAAGCCACGGCUAACUACGUGCCAGCAGCCGCGGUAAUACGUAGGUGGCAAGCGUUAUCCGGAAUUAUUGGGCGUAAAGAGUGAGUAGGCGGUUUCUUAAGUUUGAAGUGAAAAGCAGUUGCUUAACAACUGUUUGCUUUGAAAACUGGGGAACUAGAGUGCAGGAGAGGUUAACGGAAUUCCAUGUGUAGCGGUGAAAUGCGUAGAUAUAAGGAGGAACACCAGUGGCGAAGGCGGUUAACUGGCCUGUGACUGACGCUCAGUCACGAAAGCGUGGGGAGCAAAUAGGAUUAGAUACCCUAGUAGUCCACGCUGU